rnacentral:rRNA from 1 species
GUCAAGUCAUCAUGCCCCUUAUGUCCAGGGCUACACACGUGCUACAUUGGCGCAUACAGAGGGCAGCAAUACCGCGAGGUGGAGCAAAUCCCAAAAAGUGCGCCUCGGUUCAGAUUGGAGGCUGAAACUCGCCUCCAUGAAGGUGGAGUUGCUAGUAAUCGCGGAUCAGCAAUGCCGCGGUGAAUACGUUCCCGGGCCUU